UUACGUUACCGUCCGCGUCCAUCUUCUUCUUAAAGAUCCAUUUGUUCUGAAUAGCCUUGCGGCAUUCAGGUAAUACUUUCAAAGUCCAUGCCAUCUCCCUCUCUCUCCCUCUCCCUCUCCCUCUCUCUCUCCCUCUCCCUCUCCCUCUCCCUCUCCGCCUCUCCCUCUCCCUCUCUCCCUCUCCCUCUCCCUCUCUCUCCCUCUCCCUCUCCCCCUCUCCCUCNCUCUCCCUCCCUCCCUCCCUCCCCCUCUCUCUCUCUCUCUUCUCUCUCUCCCCCUCUCUCCCUCUCCCUCUCCCUCUCCAUUGUGUUUUCAUACAUAGAUCCUAUCUCAUACUUCUUGGCCUCCAGCCAUUUUUUGGAAUCCGGGCCCACCAUUGCUUCUUCAUAACUUGCAGGUUCAUUGUUGUCUAACAACAUGAUUGAUAAGACAGGAUUACCGUACCACUCAGGAGUAGUACGUGAUCUUGUCGACCUGCGAGGUACGUCAGUAACUUGAUCUGAAACUUCAUGAUCAUCAUCAUUAAUUUCCUCCUCAACUGGCGUCGCUUCGACAGAGGUUUCCCCUUGCCCUACUCCACCAUCUAGAGGGAGUAGAGGUUCGACGACCUCAUCAAGUUCUAUCUUCCUCCCACUCAAUUCUUUCGAGAGAAACUCCUUCUCAAGAAAAGCUUCGUUCUUAGCAACAAACACUUUUCCCUCGGAUUUGAGAUAGAAGGUGUACCCAACUGUCUCCUUUGGGUAACCUAUGAAGAUGCACUCUUCCGCUUUGGGUUCCAGCUUUUCAGGCUGAAGCUUUUUGACAUAAGCAUCACAUCCCCAAACUUUAAGAAACGACAACUUUGGCCUCUUGCCAUGCCACGGCUUGUAUGGUGUCGUUUCAACGGAUUUUGAUGGUGCCCUAUUUAAAGUGAAUGCAGCUGUCUCUAAUGCAUAACCCCAAAACGAUGACGACAAAUCGGUAAGAAACAUCAUAGAUCGCACCAUUUCUAACAAAGUACGAUUACGACGUUCGGACACACCAUUACGGUGUGGUGUUCCAGGCGGUGUUAACUGUGAAAUGAUUCCACAUUGUCUCAAGUGAGCACCAAACUCGAAACUCAGAUACUCACCCCACGAUCAGAAUGUAGGAACUUGAUCUUCUUGUUACGAUGAUUUUCAACUUCACUCUGAAAUUGCUUGAACUUCUCAAACAUUUUAGACGUGUGCUUCAUCAAGUAGAUAUAUCCAUACCUACUCAAAUUGUCCGUGAAGGUGAGAAAAUAACGAUAUCUGCCACGCGCCUCCACACUCAUCUGACCGCACACAUCGGUAUGUAUGAUCUCCAACAAGUCACUUGCACGUCCAUUGUUUCGAAGAACGCAUCUUAGUCAUCUUGCCCAUGAGGCAUGGUUCGCACGUGUCAAGUGAGUCAAAAUCAAGUGACUCCAAAAGCCCAUCGGAAUAGAGUUUCUUCAUGCGCUUUACUCCAAUAUGACCUAAGCGGCAGUGCCACAAAAAACGUGGCGCUAUCAUUGUUAACUCUAUAUCUUUUGGUCUCAAUGUUAUGUAUAUGUGUAUCAUCACAAUCAAGAUUCAAUACGAAUAAUCCUCUCAUAUUGGGUGCAUGAACAUAAAAGAUAUUACUCAUAGAAAUAGAACAACCACUAUUCUCUGACUUAAAUGAGUAACCGUCUCGCAAUAAACAAGAUCCAGAUAUAAUGUUCAUGCUUAGCGCAGGCACUACAUAACAAUUAUUUAAGUUCAUAACUAAUCGUGAUGGUAACUGAAGUGAGACUGUGCCGACGGUGAUUGCAUCAACCUUGGAACCAUUUCCCACGCGCAUCGUCACUUCAUCCUUUGCGAGCCUUCGUUUAUUCCGGAGUUCCUGCUUCGAGUUGCAAAUAUGAGAAACAGAACUGGUAUCAAAUACCCAGGCACUACUACGAGAGUUGGUUAAGUACACAUCAAUAACAUGUAUAUCACAUAUACCUGAUUUUUCUUUGGCCGCCUUCUUAUCAGCCAAAUACUUGGGGGCAGUUGCGCUUCCAGUGACCCAUCCCCUUGCAAUAAUAACACUCAGUUUCUGUCUUAGGUCCAGCCUUGGGUUUCUUCGUCGGAUUGGCAACAAGUUUGCCCCUCUUCUUGGAGUUACCCUUCUUGCCUUUGCCGUUUCUCUUGAAACCAGUGGUCUUAUUGACCAUCAACACUUGAUGCUCUUUCCGAAGUUCUAACUCUGCGACUUUCAGCAUCGCAAAUAACUUGCCGGGUGACUUGUUCUUCCCUUGCAUGUUAUAGUUCAACACGAAGCUCUUAUAGCUAGGUGGCAGUGAUUGAAUAAUUCUUUCAGUGAUAGCCUCUUGCGGGAGUUCAAUCCCUAGCUCAGGUAAACGGUUUGAGUACCCAGACAUUUUAAGCACAUGUUCACUGACAGACGAAUUCUCCUCCAUCUUGCAAGCAUAUAAUUUAUCACAGGUCUCAUAUCUCUCGACCUGGGCGUUCUUCUGAAAGAUAAACCUCAACUCCUGGAACAUCUCAUAUGCUCCAUGACGCUCAAUGCGACGUUGAAGCCCCGGUUCUAAGCCAUACAAGACUGCACAUUGAACUACUGAGUAGUCCUCCUUACGCUAUUGCCAAGCGUUCAAAACAUAUUGGUCAGACGUAGCGGGUGGUUCAUCUCCUAACACAGCAUCAAGGACAUAAUUCUUUUUUCCAGCUUGUAGGAUGAGCCUAAGAUUACGAGCCCAGUCGACAAAGUUGCUUCCAUCAUCUUUCAACUUAGCUUUCUCUAGGAACGUAUUGAAAUUCAGGGUUGCUACUGCGUGAGCCAUUGAUUUACAACAUAAAAUAUUGCAAAGUGGACUUAGACUAUGUUCAAGACAAUUAGAGUUUAACUAAUCAAAUUAUUAAUGAACACCCACUCAAAAAAUACAUCCCUCGUGUCGUUUGAGUGGUGCAUGAUCCAAAUUUACUAUCUCAAGUCCGAUCAUCACGUGAGUUGAGUAUAGCUUUAGUGGUAAACAUCUCUAUGCUAAUCAUAUCAACUACAUGAUUCAUGCUUGACCUUUCGGUUUCAUGUGUUCCGAGGCCAUGUCUGCACAUGCUAGGCUCGUCAAGUUUAACCCGAGUGUUCCGUGUGUGCAACUGUUUUGCACCCGUUGUAUGUGAACGUUGAUUCUAUCACACCCGAUGAUCACGUGGUGUCUCGAAAUGAUGAACUGUCGCAACGGUGCACAGUCGGGGAGAACACAAUUUCAACUUGAAAUUUUAGUGAGGGAUCACCUUAUAAUGCUACCGUCGUUCUAAGCAAAAUAAGGUGCAUAAAAGGAUUAACAUCACAUGCAAUUCAUAAGUGACAUGAUAUGGCCAUGAUCUUGUGCUUAUUGAUCUCCAUCACCAAAGGACCGGCAUGAUCUUCUUGUCACCGACACCACAACAUGAUCUCCAUCAUCAUGAUGUCCAUCAUCGUGCCGCCAUUGAGGUUGCCGUGCUAUCUAUGCUAUUACUACUAAAGCUACAACCUAGCAAUAUAGUAAACACAUCUGCAAACACAAACGUUAGUUUAAAGACAACCCUAUGGCUCCUGCCGGUUGCCGUAGCAUCGACGUGCAAGUCGAUAUUAACUAUUACAACAUGAUCAUCUCAUACAUCCAAUAUAUCACAUCAUGUCUUUGGCCAUAUCACAUCACAAGCAUACCCUGCAAAAACAAGUUAGACGUCCUCUAAUUUGUUGUCGCAUGUUUUACGUGGUUGCUAUGGGUAUCUAGUAUGAUCGCAUCUUACUUACGCAAAAACCACAACAGAGAUGUGCAAAUUGCUAUUUAAACUCUCUCCAAGGACUGCCUCGGUCAAAUCCAAUUCAACUAAAGUUGAAGAAACACGCACCCGCCAGUCAUCUUUAUGAAACGAGUUGCAUGUUGGUCGAUAAAACUAGUCUCUCGUAAGUGUACGAGUAAUGUCGAUCCGGGCCGCUUCAAUCCAACAAUACCGCCGAAUCGAGAAAAUACGAAGGAGGGCAGAAAAUCAAACAUCAACGCCCACAAAACCUUUUGUCUUCUACUCGAGAGACAUCUAUGCAUGAACCUAGUUCAUGAUGCCACUGAUGGGGAACGUUGCAUGGGAAACAAAAAAAAAUCCUACGCACACGAAGACCUAUCAUGGUGAUGUUCAUCUACGAGAGGAGAUGAGAUCCACAUACCCUUGUAGAUCGCUAAGCGAGAAGCGUUAAGAAAUGGAGUUGAUGUAGUGGUACAGCUUCGUGAUUCAAAUCACCGUCGUCCCACGAUCCGUUCCGAUCUAGCGCCGAACGGACGACACCUCCACGUUCAGCACACGUACAGCUCGGUGACGAUCUCAGCCUUCUUGGUCCAGCAAGAGAGACGGAGAACUAGAUUAGUUCUCCGGCAUCAUGACGGCGUGCCGGUGGUGGUGAUGAUGUACUCCUGCAGGGCUCCGCCCGAGCACCGCACAAAUCCGAUCUAGAGGAAGAACUACGUGGUAUAGGUUUGAGUUUCCCUUGGCAAAGUUGUGUCUCAAAAGCCCUAAAACCACCAAUAUAUAUAGGAGGAGGGGAGGGGAUAGUCUUGGGGCUCAAGGGAUCCCCAAAGGCACCGGCCGAUUGGGAGGAGGUGGAUUCACUCCCCAAUUCUGUUUGGGGGAAGGAGUCCACUCCUUCCUUCCCACCUCCCUCUUUCCUUGUUUUUUCUUUUCCUUUGGUUUUUUCCACUUGUGGCGCCAUAGCCCUCUUGGGCUGGCCUCACCAGCCCACUAAGGGCUGGUGCGCCACCCUAGGGUCACUGGGCUCACUCCUGGGUGGGUGGGCCUCUCCCGGUGAAUACCCGAAACCCAUUCGUCACUCCCGGUACACUACUGGUAAUGCCCGAAAACUUUCCCGUGACCAAAUGAAACCAUCCUAUAUAUCAAUCUUAAUUUCCAUACCAUUACGGAAACCCUUGUGACGUCUGUGAUAUUAUCCGAGACUCCGAACAACCUUCGGUCAGCAACACAUAUAACUCAACUAUACUAAAACAUCAUCAAACCUGAAGUGUGCAGACCCUGCGGGUUCGAGAACUAUGUAGACAUGACCCAAUACACUUCUCGGUCAAUAUCCAAUAGAGGGACCUGGAUGUCCAUAUUGGAUCCUAUAGGUUGAACGUUUGUGCCAAGGAUUCAUAUAAUCCCGUAUAACAUUCCCUUUGUCCUUCGGUAUGUUACUUGCCUGAGAUUUGAUUGUCGGUAUGCGUAUACCUAUUUCAAUCUCGUUACCAACAACUCUCUUUACUCGUUCCGUAAUACAAGAUCCCAUGACUUACACUUGAGUCACAUUGCUUGCAAGGCUUGUAUGUGAUGUUGUAUUACUGAGUGGGCCCCGAGAUACCUCUCCGUCACACGGAGUGACAAAUCUCAGUCUUGAUCCAUGCUAACUCAACGGAUACCUUAGGAGAUACCUUUAGAGCACCUUUAUAGUCACCCAGUUACGUUGUGACGUUUGAUACACACAAGGUAUUCCUCCGGUGUCAGUGAGUUACAUGAUCUCAUAGUCAUAGGAAUGAAUACUUGACACGCAAAAACAAUGGCAACAAAAUGACACCAUCACAUGCGACGUUCAUAGUUUGGGUCUAGUCCAUCACAUGAUUCUCCUAAUGAUGUGAUCCAGUUAUCAAGUGACAACACUUGCGUCUGAUCAGAAAACGUUAACCAUCCUUGAUCAACUGGCUAGCCAACUAGAGGCUUGCUAGGGACAUUGUUUUUUCUAUAUAUCCACACAUGUAUCUAUGCUUUCAUUCAAUAAAAUUAUAGCAUGGAUAAUAAACGAUUAUCGUGAAACAGGAAAUAUAAUAAUAACUAUUUUAUCAUUGCCUCUAGGGCAUAUUUCCAACAAGUAUGUCUAGAGAGGGGGUGAUAAGACUACUUGGCCAAAUAAAAACUUAUAUUUUUUCGAAUUUUAGUUGUAUGCUACUUUUAGCAAUUAUAACAAGUCAAGCAACACCCUACACAUGAAAGUCUAAGAUUUGAGCAACGGAAAAUAGAGAAAUUGCAUAUGUAUAUAAAGGAGAGAUCGUUGAUGGAGACUUCAACCCAUGAAGGGUUAUGGUUGCACGAGUCCACAUAGGGCUCCACCCAUGAAGGGUCCACGAUGAAGCAACCUUGUCUUUGCCAUCAUGGCAUACAUCCAUGAAGGACUAGCCUCACCUAGGUUAGAUCUCAAUGAAGUAGGGAAUCUCUUUGCCCUUAUAAAAUUAUGGGUUCAGCUUCACAUGAUUUGGAGGCUCGCAAGCGACACCUAACCAAUCUAGGAGACACCACUCUCCACAUGGUGAUAGAUGUUGUGUCGAUGAAGAACUCCUUUUGUCUUGUGCUUCAAAAGAUAGUCUCCUCCACACUCAAUCACUCUAUCACAUAUUUUGGCUUAGUAGAAGAGACGGAUUGGGUGCAAAGCACUUGGGCAAGCUAGAAAUGAAGGACCUUAUGGUUGGAAUGGAAUCCUUUAAUCUCAACACAUGAGUAGGUGGUUCUCUCUUAUAAAAUGGAACUGAAGGUAUAUGCUUCAUCCCGGUUGCUCUCUAUGAGAGUGGAUUGUGGUGGAGGGGUAUAUAUAGCCUUCACCAAAAAUUCAUCCGUUACUACUUUAUGCUCAACUUGGUGACACCAAAAUCAAAUCUGAGUAGGACCAACUAGUGCAAAAGGUUCAAACUUAUGGCUUUUCAGUGGGACCGAACAAAUCCACCCGAUCAGACCAAUUUCUGCGAUAAAUUAAGCUAUUGCCACGUUUCGGUAAUUUCGAUCGGUUCAUCUCGGAAAUUUCAAGAUGAAAUCAAUCAAUUACAACAACUUGGUCACUAUACUUUGGUGGGAUCGAAGGCCAUCUCGGUUGCACCAAGUUUUAUGGUUUGGCUUUGUUUAUUUGUCUUGGUUGGCUCGGUGGGUACAUAAGAUGUUUUCCAUGGGAUCAAGUUUGACUUUAGGGUUUUGGAAAAAUGGAACUAAGAAAGUGGUUGAGAGUAUUUGGUGGAAACUCUCUAAUCACUUGAGCAAUCGAGUCCUCAUAAAAACCUCAUCCCCUCUUAAUAGUAUUGUAUUUCCUAUGGAAUAAGUGUGAUCAUUGAUCACCUAAUGUAAAAUGUAGAGUCUUAAAGAUUUUGCCAAUGUGUUUCCUUUGAAUGUUGAGGACUACACAAUCACAUAUACUAGCCAUGCCAAUCAUUGAAUUUAUCCUGAAAACAUAUUUGAGUACUUGAUACGUCCCAAAUGUAUCUACUUUUCCAAACACAUUUUGUCUUGUUUUGCACUCUAAUUUGCAUGAAUUGAAUGGAACUAACUUGGACUAGCAUUGUUUUUAACAGAACUACCAUGGUGUUGUUUUUAUGCAGAAACAGAAGUACUCAGAUUAGGCUAAAAAUUUAUGAAGAAUAUUUCGAGAAUAUAUAAAAAAUUAUUGGCAAAGAGAACUAUCGAAGGGGGCUACCAGGGAUCCACGAGCUCAUGAGGCACCCACCCCUAGGGUGCGCCAUGCUGGCUCAUGGGUCUCACAGACCUCCGUUUGUCCGAACUCCAACUCCAUAACUACCAUCUCACGAAGAGAAAAAUGAGAGAGAAACUUCCAUCGCAUUCUAUGACAUGUUCUCGAUGCCACCUGUUGUUUUUUAUUGGGGCUGAUCUUGAGUCCAUUUGGGGCUCCAGAGAAGGGGAUUCAUUGUUGUCCUCAUCACCAAACCUUCUCCAUCAACUAUUUCAUGAUACUCACCAUCGGGAGUGAGUAAUUCCUUCGUAGGCUUGUGGACAGUGAUGGAGUUGGAUGAGAUUUGUCAUGCAAUCGAGUCAAUUUGUUAGGACUUGAUCCCUAGUAUCCAUUGUGUUCUCACAUUGAUGUUGAUAUGACUUUGCUAUGCUUAAUGCAUGUCACAAGGGACAGGGUGCCAUGAUUUCAGAUCUGAACCUAUUAUGUUUCCAUCAAUAUGAGAGUGUUUUAGAUCUUAUCUUGCAAGUUAUAUGCACCUAUUAUUUGUUAUGACCCAUGACCCAAAGUGACAAUAGAUGGUAUCUUCUCCGAUGAUGCCCGUAGUAUGAGGAGUUCAUAUAUUCACCAUGUGUUAAUGCUUUGUUUCGGUUCUCUAUUAAAAGGAUGCCUUAAUAUCCCUUGGUUUUCCUUUGGACCCCGCUACCAUGGGAGGGUGGGACAAAAGAUGUCAUGCAAGUUCUUAUUAUAAGCAUGUAUGACUAUGUUUGGAAUACAUGCCUACAUUACAUUGAUGAAUUGGAGCUAUUGUGUAUCGCUCUAGAUUGUGACUGUCACAUGAUGAAUGGCAUCCAACAUAAAUAUCAUCACAAAUUUUUUAGGCCUACUAUUUUCUCUUAUUGAUGUUUGUUAAGUUACUAAUGUUGAUGUUGUUACAAUCAUCACAAAUUGCAAUUAUUCAUGUUCCUAUUACUAUUGCUAUCGUUAUUGAAACCAUCGAAACUAUCAAACUAAUGUACUACUAGACACUAUGCUACAGAGAUAUUAUAUUCCAAGUGUGGUUGAAUUUAUGAUAACCCACAAGUGUAGGGGAACGUUUGUAGCUUUUUUGGUAAGAAGAGUCUCGAACCCAACGAGGAGCUAAAGGUAGAAUUAAUAUUCUCUCAAGUUCUAUCGACCAUCGAUACAACUUUACGCACGCCAGCGCUUACUUUACCUAGAACAAGUAUGAAACUAUUUCGCGGCAAGGAAACAAUAAGUACUUUGUAGGUGUAAUAGAUAGUUUUACUAGGUAAUAAAGAACAAGUAAAUAAAAGUUAGGUGUUGUUUAGAAAGAUUAAUAAGUAAGUUGUUUAGUAUAAAUCUUUUUUGUGUAAUGCAAGAGAAAGAUUGUCCAUAGGCAAUUGAAUAUAACAUGAUAGAUACUUAUCACAUGCAAUGAGGGACACACAUACGCUAACACACUUUCUGUACUUGGAUCAUAUGCACUUAUGAUUAGACCUCUAGCAAGCAUCUGCAACCACUAGAAUUCAUUAAGGUAAACCCAGUCAUAGCAUAAAACACCAAGUCCUCUUUACUCCCAUACGCACACAACUCCCUUACUUAAGUGUAAGCUUCUGUCACUCUAGCCACCCACUGUAAGAAAAUCAUGAACAUACUACAAACCCUCCAAUGUGAAUCUUCACGUGUGCACCUCAUCGAAGGAACCUUAGGACAACACCAUAUCAACGAACAAAUCAUAUAAAUAACAUUAUAUAACAAUUAACCCGUAGGAGAAAAUGAAUCUACUCAAACAUCAUAGGAUAUACGCACAUCAUUGGGUAAUAAUAUAUAGCAUUAAGCACCAUGUUUAAGUAGAGGUUACAGCAAGGAUAAGAGGGUUUACACUCCUGCACAAAAGGGGAGAGAUUGGUGGUGACGGCGACGAAGUUUCUUAAACAUCCAUGCCCACGAUGGCUCUUGAAGGGCAGCAACCUCUCCAAUUGGAUCUCUCUCUGUUUCUCUUCUAUUUUCGCGAUUUUUUUGGCCCUUCACCGUUUCUUACACAUACGGAGAUUCGUAACCGACCGGGCUGAAAUUUUGAGGGUGUUUUUAUCACGAAAAUAUCUUUCUUGCGACGGAAGGAGAGCCUCAACAUACUUAAGGGCUCGCCACAAGCCAUCAGGUUGCCCACCCCCUAGGCCACACCAUGUUGGCUUGUGGGGCCCUCGGGCAUCGUCUUGCGUUGAUUCCGACUCCCAAAAUUCACAUAUAUUCCAAAAAGUCUCCCUAAAGUUUUAUGAAAUUUGGACUUCAUUUGAUAUGGAAUUUCUGCAAAACAAAAAAAGCACAAAAAACACGAACUAUCACUAGGAACUGGGUAAGUAAGUUAGUCCCAAAAAUAAUAAUGUUGCAAAAGUAUAUGAAAAUUGUAGAAUAUUGGCAUGACAGAAUAAAAAAUUAUAGAUACGACACAGAUGUAUCAAUUGACAACUCAACUGCGAAGGAUCAUAGAUAUUGUUUGGAUCCCCUCGUGUCGAAUCAACAAAUUUGAGUGAAAUACUACCAUCGAAGACUAUCACGCCCCCCUAUACUUGUGGGUUAUCUAGACCUUUUUCUGGCGUCAUUGUGGGGAACAUAGCUUUAUUUAUUGAGUUCAUUUGGGAUAUCUAUUGGUCACUAUGAGUAAGUUGAAAGACUCCAAAACUUAGAUCGUUCCCUGUAAGACGAGGAGAGGUAAGGAACUGUCAUCUAGCUCCUCAUUCGAUUUACCUUCUGUUUUGAGUAAGCUUAUGACACCUCCACCUGCUAUUCAAUAUGAUAUGUCAGAAGUAAUAGACACUACUUCUACUAUGGAUGAUGUUCAUGAUGGUGCUACUACUAUGCUAGAUGAAACUGAAACUGUGCCACUAAGUGAAUUGUUCGAUGCUCAUAUUGCUAGAUCCAAAUAAAUUGAGAAUGCUAGACUGAUGAAAUUUUUAUUCACCCAUUAUGCCCAGCUCUCCUACUAGAGUUGAAAUGCGUGAGAUACCUCGUGGUUAUGUGAUCAUAAAAGAUAGUGUCGCUAAUAAAAGAAAUAUAACUAAAACUAAAAUGUCCACCAUGCUUGUAAAUUAUUCUUUUAAGGGGAGUGAGUACCUAAGAAGUUAGGAGAUUGAGGAAUACCCACUAUAACUUGCUCCAUUAAAAGAAAGUAUGUCAAAACUUCCUUAUGUGAUUUAGGAGCGGGUGACCAUCUACUUAUUGAGGAAAUAAACUUCACUAAAUAAUAUCAACUUAAACAAAUUGGGAUAAUUACUAUUAGAGGGUUAAAAUUUCCUCUUCGUACUAUCAACAAGAGAUAUGAAAUUCUUAUUGUUGGGGAAAUGCACAUCCCCAUUCAGGUAACUUAGUGUUAUAAGAAGAUUUUUUGGUUUCAUGUUAUUCACAAACAAAUUGUUAAUAAGGCAUGAUCAAUCGUAUUAAUGGAUUCUUUAUGGGCAUGUGCUCGAUAAAUUUAGUAAGCACAACCUGUUGUACCCAUAGUUUACUUUUUGUUAUUUAAAGGUUUAAUUAAGUAGAAUGCUAUUACCCCAUUUUCUUAAUUAUUUGUGCAAUAAAAAAUGUCCCCAAAAUAAAAGUUCUGGAAAUGACGUGAAAAUUUAGUAUGAUUUUUCCUAUAAUAUAUAUAAAUUUUUGGCACUGAACACACCCUAGGGGGUGCACCUGUGAGCCACGAGCUUGGAGGGCGCGCCAUGCAAGAUGGUGGGUCCCACGGGGACCCACUCAUUUAGUGCACCAUCCCAUUACCAUAUCAUACCUCCCAAAAAAAUCGUCCCUGCCUCCUAGCCCGAGUUCUUACUCAUUUUAAAGUGAUUUUUGAUCUCUUUGCUUUGUACUCUGUUUUUGUAACUAUUUCGAGGAAUUCCUCCUUGGUAUGUAACUCCUCCACUGCUCCAAUUAGUUUUGUUCUAGUGCUUGAUGUUUUGCAAAUCUUGCUACUGUAGGUGACCAUGUAUAUUAGCUUGUUAGAUGGUUCAAAAUAGUUUUGAUGCAUUAUACAGCCUCUAGACACUUGUGGGACUAGUUGAUAUCUUGUUGAGUUUAGUUCCCUUUUAUUUGGAAGGAGUAAAAAUUUCAAAGAAAAGGAUAAAAUAAUGAAGAGAUUCUUGAGACGUUCUUUGAGCUAGAGUUCCAAGGGAACAACACAGGAGAAGCCUAAGUACCAUCUUCCUCGCGCAACCGAGGUGUGAUCGUGCAAAUGGCCAUGCGACACAUUUCUAAGGGAUGUAGGAAUUCAUGAUGAUUUAUAUUAUUUGGUCGACCGAGCCAGACUCACUCCGUUCUUGGAAGAUAAGUGUGAUCAGUAUCUCCUCCUCACCAAUACUUUUCUGCAAAAUUUUCACUUUCAUGCUAGGAGAUUGGUACCCACCGUAUCAUUCCACUUAUAUGAAGAACAAAAGGAAAUGACGGAUGAUAAGUUCUCCCAAGUUCGCAAAAUUCCUAAUGAGGGCAGCCCUCUAGAGCCUCGUCCUAGAUACGUUCGGGAUUUUAUUUUUGCAGCGAUUGUGGGGGAUAAGAUAGGAGUUUCUGGUGCUAGUGUCAUUAGUUUGCAUUUUCCUAUUUUACAUUAUUGUUCAUUUUUUGCUCGUAGGUGCAUUACCGGUAGGUGGGAGAGCAGAACACUCAGCUCGCCUGACCUUGCUAUCUUAUGUAGUGCACUCUAUGGUGAUAGUACUUUUAGUUUGGGAGCUAUUUCCGCACAACGGUUGCACACCAACCGCUCAAAGGGUGUCAUCUAUGGUUGUAUUUAUGCCUGUCUCCUAGAGAAUUUGAGAUUCCUAUUAGGUAUAGGAAGGAUGAGAUCUUAACUACUAAAUAUAUCGAUUAUGGUAUCAGGGUUGGGAAUAACUUUAUUGAUUUUGGUAUAACUUGGUAUUUAGUGAGGAUUCUUGUGAGAAGAUUACUCUACCUGCACAGCCUUUGUUUCAUCUUUCCAGGGGAAGGCACACUAUUAUGGCUAAGGACAUUUACGCUUUUUGGGGCUUGACACCAUGAUACUUGUAAACUGUGUUGGAUUUUUCCUCGAAGAGGAGGGAGAUGCAGCACAAUACAGAUAAGUAUUUCCCUUAGAGAGCACCAAGGUUAUCGAACGAAUAGGAGAAUCAUGCUAACCCCCUUCGACAACACCUACACACACAUAACCAAACACUUGUGCCCAACGCAGACAAGAGGGUUGUCAAGCCCCUUGAACUCGUUACUUGCAAGGAUUAAAUACUGGUAGAUAGAUAAUAGAAAUAAAUAAAAUUAAAUAACAUUAAAUGAAUUGCAGCAAAGUAAUUUUUGAGGUUUUUUAGUUUUGUGUAAGUAGACCCGGGGGCCAUAGUUUUUAGUAGAGGCUUCUCUCUCGAACAUAGCAUACGGUGGGUAAAGAACUUACUAUUGGGAAAUUGACAGAAUAGCGCAUAGUUAUGACUUGAAAUUAACAACGAUGAUAAUGUAUAUAGGUAUCACGUCAAUAAAUAAUUAGACUGACUCCUUCUUGCAUCUACUACUAUUACUACACACAUCGACCGCUAUUCAACAUGCAUCUAGAGUAUUAAGUAUGAAACAGAGUAAUGCUUGGAGCAAGAUGACAUGAUGUAGACACAGUAAGACAAGCAAUAUCUUCACACCCCAUAGUUUUAUCCUUAAUUAUAGCAAUAAAAUACGUGUCAUGACCCUUUCUGUAAACUGGAAUUGAGCAAGGUGAGAUUGAACCCAUCACAAUGCAACGCUCCCACUAAAUAUAAAUCAAUCAAGUUGGCGAAAUCAAACCGAUAUAUCGGAAUGAAAUUCAAACCUAUAACAAUCAUGCAUAAAAUAUUUCAAAGAAGACUCAAUAUAUAUUCAUCAAUAAUCUGAUCAUAAACCCACAAUUCAUCGGAUUCCAACAAACACAUCGCAAAAUAUGAUUAAAUCGGAUACAUCACCACGGGAAUCACGGUGAACCUUGUAUUGAAGAUUAAAGAGGGAGAAGAAGCCAUCUAGGUACUAGCUAUGGACCCAUAGGUCUGUGGUGGACUAGUCACACAUCACCAUGGAGGCAACAAGGUUGAUGUAGAUGUCCUUGAUACGUUUCCAACAUAUCGGUAAUUUAUAAAUUAUUAAUGCCAUAUUUUCCUAUGUUUACAAUACGUUUAUAUUGCUUUAAUGCACUUUAUAUGAUUUAUUUAGAAUUAACCCGGACUAGCAUUGUUUUGAGCAGAAUUACUGUGGUUUUGUUUUUGUGCAGAAAAUAAAUGUGCCCGGAAUUCCCCGAUUUGUUUUUAUGAUUUUUUAUGGAUAAAAUAAUAAAUACCAGAGUGAAGAACCGUCGAAGGGGCCUAUUUGUGGCCAAAAGCUAACAGGACGCGCCCUGAUGUGUGAUGGGGCCCACGUGGCUCUGUUUGACGUGUUUCCAAUGCUAAAAAAUCCUAUACAUACCAAAACUCUCUAUAUCAAAGAAAACCCUAUAUGGAGCCUUUCCAGUACUCUGCCGGAGGGCGAAAUCAUCUCUGGUGGCCAUCUUCAUCAUGUCGGCGGGGGCCAUGAUGAGAAGGGAGUAGUUCAUCCUCGGUGCUGAAGGUAUGUACUAUAGCUAUGUGUUUAAUCUCUCUCUCUCCCUCUCUCUCGUGUUCUUGAGAUGGCACAAUCUUGAUGUAUCAUAGGUUUUGUUAAUAUGGUUGAUCAUAUGGUGUUCUUCCCUUGCCAUCUUGUUGUGAUGAAUUGAAUCUUUCCCUUUGAGAUCUCGUUAUGUUGGAUUGAAUAUUUUGGGUUUGAGAACACUUGAUGUAUGUAUUGCAUGCGGGUACUCGUAGUGACAACGGGGUUUUCUAUUGGUUCACUUGAUAUUGGUUAUGGCCAAACUUGCGGAUUUCGAUGACCUUGGGGAUCUAUGCAUAGGGGUUGGUUGCAUGUUCUCAUUCUACCUUCUCUAAUAGAAAUAUUGGGGUACUCUUUGAAGUUCUUUGUGUUGGAUUGAAAAUGACGAAUUUGAAAUUGUUUGAUGCAUUUCAAAUAAUUAUCCAAUGGAUACUUGAGGUGACAAUGCAGUAUCUAGGUGACAUCAGGAUUGAUUAAUAUGUAUCAUAGGUGUUAUUCUAGUAUGAACUCUAGAGAUGUUUGUGACACCUACAGGAAUAUCCCAAAAGAUUGAUCGCAAAGAUUAACUUUCAGGUGGUUCGCUGCCUACAACAACUUCUUAUUAUGUUCUCCGCUAAUAGGAACUUUGGAGUGAUUCUUUGUUGCAUGUUGAGGGAUGGCCAUAUGAUUCUACUAUGUUACCAGUGUUGAGAGAUGGCACUAUUGAAAGUAUGAACUGUAAGCCUUGUUUCUAAGCAUUAAUAUACCAUUCUUCUCGCUGUUUACUACUUGUUACCUUACUAUUUUUAUUUAUUCAGAUUAUAAAAAUAUAUUUCUACAAUCCAUUCUACACUUGUAUCACCAUCUGUUCGCGAAACUACUGCACCUAUACAAUUCGCCAUUGUAUUGGGUGUGUUGGGGACACAAGGGAUUUCUUGUAUUUGAUUGCAAGGUUGCUUGAGAGAGACCAUCUUCAUCCUACACCUCCCAUGGAUUGAUAAUCCUUAGGUCAUCCACUUGAGGGAAAUUUGAUGCUGUCCUACAAAACUCUACACUUGGAGGCCCGACAACAUCUACAAGAAUGAAGUUGCAUAGUAGACAUCAGGCCUCCGGGAUCGAUUCCCCCUUCGGCAGGGCACCGAAAAAGUUCUCCACAUGGACUCCCAUCGGAACAGAAACUUGCGACGGCAGAAAAAAAAGUAUUUCAGGUGGCUCUUUGUUGGUUUCCUGAUUUUAGAGAAUUUAUGGAGGUGGAAAUAGGUUAGGCGAAGUCGCGAGGGGACAACAAGGAAUUAGGGCAUGUCUACCCCCCUCGACGCACCCUGUUUCCUUGUCGUAUCCUCGUUUGUUGUUUGGUCUCCUUCCGAAGCUUCUAGGUCCUAUUUUGUUCAUAAAAAACCAUCAAAAAGUUUUGUAGAAUUUGCACUUUGUUUGGUACUAAUUUCCUGGAAAACCAAAAAGAAGAAGAAAACAUCAAUUGGCACUAGGCACUCGAUUGAUAACUUAGUUUCCAAAAAUGAUAUAAAAUAGCAUAUGAUUGCAUAUAAAGCAUCCAAGAUUGUUAAUAUAAUAGCAUGGAAAAAUUUAAAAUUAUCGAUACGUUGGAGAUGUAUGACAACACCCGAGCACCUGAGCCUACAUAUCGGUGGGAGGCUCUGGAGCCUUCCUAUUAGUGGGAGACUUAGGAGCCUCACUAUUACCCUCGACCUGAUUAUUUCGAGUUGUGGCCAUAUACCAAGUUAGGCCAAAAUCUUAGGAGUAUGUAUUUCUCAUCGACAUUACAUUCAUGUACCAUGCAUUCAUUCCUGUUGUCGGUGUUCAUCCUCUUUCAUUGUAUAUCCAUGUUGAGUUUUAUUUUUGGUUUCUUUGGUGUGUUUGAAAACUUCCGAAAAUAAAAAAAAUGUUUGUUUUUGGUUUUUCUUUCUUGCUUUUCUAGUUUGUAGUAUUAAAAAUAAAACUCAAACAUAGUUCCUAUUCUUAUUUUUUUUGUUGGGAGAUUUCUUGUGUAAAUAGUUGUUCUCAUUUCUUGUCUUUCUUAUAUUCUAUUUGCUCUCUUCUAAAAAACUAAAAACUCCAAAAACAUUUUAGUAUGUUUCUCUGAUAUUCUUUUCUUUUGUUUGAGCUGUCGUGAGGAGAAGACCAUGUUAAAAUUGUUGAGUGGCUCUUAUAUGCAAUAUUGCUCAUCUAAUAGAGCCAAUAUUACCUUGUUUUCUCCUUCGAAUAAAUUGUUUCGUAGAUUCCAUCUUAGUCCACGACACACUUGCACUAUUAGUAUUUUUACAUCAUUCAGUCAUGCAAGUGAAAGGCAAUAAUGAUGAUGACUUGAUGAAGUCUAUGCGGUGAAGGGAAGUUGGUCCGAACUCUUAUCUUUUUUGUUUUUGUAAAUAUGUUUAGCUUAGCCGAUAUUGAUUUAACAUAUUUUGUGUAAACAUGCUUGUGAUGAAAAUUACAGUUUAUAGUUUCUCAUGCUAUGCUUAAUUAGGUAGGAGUGAAUACCGAUUCAUCUUGUGUGUCAACAUGCAUUAAAAUGAUUGUGAUGUAGUAUGUUGGUAUAGUAUCCUCCUCUCAAUAAUUCAAGUGUCUUGACUUGGCACAUGUUCAGACAUGUAGUUGAUUCAAAACCAAUGUAUCCUUCAUGAUAUUUAUGUUCGAAAUGUUUAUAUCCUUCCCAUACUCAUAUUAUGUGUUAAAAAUUUCAUAAUGCAUGAUUAUGAUCAUUGUCACUCUCUAGUUGUCGGCUUCUCAAUCUAUUUUCUAGCCUUCACUUGUACUAGGCGGGAAUACUGCUUGUGCAUCCAAAUUCCUAAAACCCAAAGUUGUUCCAGAUGAGUCCACCAUACCUACCUAUCUGCUGUAUUACUCUGUUGUUCUAAGUAAAUUUGCAUGUGCCACCUCCAACAAUUCAAACAGACAUUCUUUUUGUGUGCGUGUAUCAGUCAUGUAGCGACGAGGCGGUCAAUUUUUUCCAUGCUAAGCGGGUUAUUCUGAUGAGGGUGUUUAUUCAACUAUCAUUGCACGAGAGAGGUUGGUAAUUGGGAUGUUGAUUCCUGUAAUCAAAAACAAAAAAUGUAAUAAAACAAACUCCCCCUGGAAAGUUGAUUGUUUAGAGGGCACCCAUAAAUUAGGCUAGACAUGGCUUGUGUUUGUAUGGAUGAGUGGGAGUAAAAUUUACCUUUCCGCUUGGGAACCGCUGAUAAUGUGUUUAGCAUGGAACAUAUCAAAAUCCUUUUUCAUAAUAUUCAACUCUGAGCUUUGGCACCUCUCCAAAUCCCUGCUUCCCUCUGCGAAGGGCCUUUCUAUUUUAGAUUUAUUGUUGAGUGAAAACCUUCUCAUUAAAGCACUAACUUUGAGAGUGCUAUUGUCAUUCUUAUGCAUUGAGUAUAAUUAAUAUUGAAUGCGAACAUCAUUGGAUCUAUCUACCGAGAAUUAAAAUGUUUAGUUGUUUCUUAAACUUCAGAGGUGCUCUCCAUUUAUGUUUUGCAGCUUCAGAAAGGGCUAGCCAUAUACCAUGUUAUCAUAUUAUAUCAUGAUUGUUUUCACAAAUUGCUAGCAUCCCAGAUAUCUUAUUAUUGCUCUCUAGUUGGUUAUGUUAUUCUUAUUAGAGGAUAUGAGAUCUAAAUGUUAUCAUUCAUAUGGAUAGUUCAGAAUCUUUGCUGAAAACUGGAACACUAGUUAACCUUAUAUAUAGCUACGAGAACAAAAGAGUUUGUAAAAGUGUUUCUUUUUCACUUUGAGUUUGUCAACUGAAUUGCUUGCACACAAGAAAGGAGUUACGCUUGAGGGAGCUGAUAUGUCCCAAAUAUAUCUACAUUUCAUAACACGUUUUCUCUUAUUCCGAACUCUAAUUUUCAUGAUUUGAAUGAAACUAACCCGGACCGACAUUGUUUUUUAGCAGAACCACCAUGGUCUUAUUUUUGUGCAUAAAUAAGAGCUCUCAGAUUGGGCUAAAAAUUACAGAGAAUAUUUCCACGACAUAUAAAAAAUAGUGGCAACGAAAACUAUCCAAGGGGGCCCACCAGGGAGCCACGAGCUCACGUGGCACACCACUCCCCUAGGGCACGCCAUGGAGGCUUCUGGGACCCAACUCCUGUUUUCCCUAACUCUGAUGCCAUAUGUAACGUAUCAUGGAGAAAAAAAAUCAAAUACAAACUUUCAUCGAGUUUUAUGAGACGGAUUUGCGCCAACCUUAUGUUCUUCAACAGGAUGGCUGACGUGGAGUCCGUUUGGGGCUCCAUAGAGGGGGAUUCAUCGUCUUCGUCAUCACCAACCUUCUCCAUCAACAAUUCCAUGAUGCUCACCACCAGGUGUGAGUAAUUCCUUCGUAGGCUUGUUGGACGGUGAGGGAUUUGGAUGAUAUUUAUCAUGUAAUCGAGUCAAUUUGUUAGGGCUUGUUCCCUAAUAUACACUAUGUUCUCAGAUUGAUUUUGCUAUAACUUUGCUAUGCUUAAGGCUUGUCACUAGGGCUCGAGUGCCAUGAUUUUAUAUCUAAAACUGUUAUGUUUCCACAAAUAUGGGAAUGUUAUCCUAUCUUGCAAGUUAUAUGCACCUAUUGUGUGUUACGGUCCGUAGACCCCCAAAGUGACAAUAGUUGCGAUCCUUUGCGGUGAUGACCUUAAUAUGAGGAUUUCAUGUAUUCACCAUGUGUUGCUGCUUUGUUCCAGUUCUGUAUUAAAAGGAGGCCUUAAUAUGACUUAGUUUCCCUUUGGACCCCGCUCCAACUCGAGGGUAACCAAAGAUGUCAUGCAAGUUCUUAUUAUAAGCAUGUAUGACUAUAUACAGAAUACAUGCCUUCAUUACAUUGAUGAAUUGGUGAUGUUGUAUAGCUCUAGGUUGUGAAUGCUACAUGAUGAAUGUCAUCCAACAUAAAUAUCCUUUAGUAAUCUAGUGCCUAGGCUCUUAUCAUAUUUUUCUUUGCUAAGUUACUAUUGUUGUUGUAGUUGUAAUCAUCAUAAACUGUUAUUGUUAUUGUUCAUAUUACUAUGCUACUGUUACUGAAAGCAUCAAAAGUAUCAAACUAUUGCGGUACUAAAUACUUUGUGCACAGAUAUUAUACUCCGUGUGUGGUUGAAUUUACAACUCAACUGCUAAGGCUCAUAAUUAUUGGUUGGCUCCCCUUGUGUAUGAAAGAAAAAUUGCUCCCUAAGGUGGUUUUGGUAGUUAAGAACAACAUAUGUAUCAUUAAACUAAUGAUUCUAUCCAAGUAUAUUUUAGAAGAUUUCAAAGAUGCAUUGGCUAAAGGAUUGUGAGGAGAAACCCCUUGAUGCAAGGAAAAUGAAUAGGAUUGGCAAAGCUUCAAGCAAGAGGAAAUCCAAUAAUAUUAAAAUGGGGUGACGUACUUAUGAUGAAUUGGUUGCUCAAGUUCUCAGAUAUAGGUACCAAAAAUCCUUAGCAUUUCUCUCACAAAAUUCUCUGUCCAAAGCCUACACAUCAAAAUCGGUAGCGACCCGACUCAACGAGUCAAGCCUCUGGUGUUUCCGUACCAUCCCAAGAUCAUGCUGGUACACACACAGUACAUAAUGUAUAUAUUCAGGAGUGCAAUCACACAACUUUAUUAAUCAAAAUCUCAUAAAGAGUACUUUAUUACAAUAAAGGAGUACAAUAAAGUGGCUGAAGGCCAUCUCAUGAGAUUAUCUAACGAAGACUAAGCGGAAGCAUCAGGUAGACGAGUCCAUCCGACUCCAAGGGCAUGUUGCUGAGCGUAGAACCGUAGCCUCACUCCUGGUCGGAAAAGUACUCUGCAACAUGAUACGUUGCAGCCGUGUAGGUCAGCAUAUUGAAUAUGCUAGCAAAUCAUCAAGAGACGGAGUAAAAUAGUAAUCAACUAUCUCUACAUGCAUAUUUGGCCGGUGGAGCUAAGUUUUGCAUAAAGCCAGUUUUAUCCUACAACAAAAGGGGUCGAAAGCAAAAUAUUACUACAUGUUUGUUGUUAAGGAGAUGGUUCCGCCAACCAGUUCUCGUACCCGAAUAGUUGUUAACACCCACAUCAUUAUUAAGUUGUGUCGAGAGUUCAGGGGAAAUUCAAUGCCUUCGGCUCAAGUUGUCCAUGACCGUGGACACGGCUAAUCGAUUAGGUUGAGUACUCUGCAGAGUUUUGCACACGUUCCCCACAAGAUUUGAUCGCCUCCGGGUUUGUCCUCGCACUUCAGGGUGUUUGAAGACCGGAUGAUCAAAACAUGGUCUUUCAACGGGUCCCUCUGAAUCCCUGUCGGUGCCCAUCCAUUCCUACUGUUCUUCUACAUCUGCUAGCACCGCCUGUCCAGAGUCGCCGCGUUGUCCAACCAAGCCAGAGCCCAUAAUGACUUGUGGCUGUGCAGGUAAGCCUUGAGUCUUGAAAAUAUCCGUCCGUCUCCUUGAGCCUGGGUGAAGCUUUCCGCAGGAUGACAUGGCCUCUCCAGCAUCCCGGGCAUCCACUGGGUUUUCCAGGGAGCCGAUCAACCGUCCUUCACCCAGUGUUGCAUUUGCGUCCGAGGUCUUGAAAAUCUUGUCUUAGUCCGGUCUUGAUUAUUAUAUCAACCUCGCAUCACUCGUGGUAUACACUCAACCGAUACCCGUCUACUUAAGCAUAGCAAGUAUAAUAUUGUCGUCCCGGGGCCAAGUAUCGGGGUUGUUGUGUUCCUACCACAUGAUACUACAACUUACACUAAAGUUUCCAAGUACCUAGGCAGCAUGCAAAUUGUGCAAAGAAGGUGAUCUACUAUGCAUCGAAAACAUAGGUAAAAUAACAUGAUCAAAGAUGACUUGUCUUGAUGAUAGUUGUCCUGCUCAAGCGUCUCUAAGUAACACGCUUCGCACUUCGGAUGAUCUACCGAUACAAACACAAAGCACACCCUAAGCAAUUCAAUCAUGCCACAAGUAAAAAUAACAUCACAUGCAAUGAUUUGCAAAAGACUACGCAAAAGAAUUUAUCGUGCGCCGGUAGGGCAGAAACUUGUUUCUGUUGAAAACACCAGUAAAAAUACUGUAAAAAUUCUGAAACUUCUACCACAGUAAUAUUUUAUCACUAGAAAAUAGUAGCAAAAAGAAUCAACUCAAUAUCAUUUUUCAAACUCCUGGAAUAGGCAAAACAGUGUUUAAACUAAAUCUGCUCUAACUUAUAUUUAAAAAUUUCAAACAUAGACAAAUUAUAUGUUUUUACAAACUGCAUGAAAUUUGUGAGCUACUGGAAAAAGAAUCAAUGUCAAUGGACGUAGGGAUAAAAAGUUGUGGCCAAAACAAAAUUGAAAGUUUCUGUUUUUGUAAACUGGACAGGAAGUUAGAAAACUGCUAGUGCUAAAAGAGAGGCUCACGUGGCAAGUUUCUACUGGCUGCAGUGGCUGUUUGUUGAAUAGCUUCGGGCAAACGGCCUAAGGCUAGCAAAGUCGCCGGUUAAUACUUAAGUGGCAAGAAAAACCUACUGGUUUUCUGAGAAUAACCGAAGGGUUACUAGUGUUCUAAUCCUAGCCAUUGCAUGGGAUUGCAUGGGAUCUAAGGGCUGAGAUUGAGUGCAUGCAAUAUAUAUAUAGAGAGAGAGGUUGCUACCUUCUGGGCAGAGGUGUUGCACCGGCGAGGGGGAGUUGGCCGGCGAGGGAGGAGCUCCGGGGCGGGGUUGAAGGCUUCGGGGAGGCGGCGGCGGAGGUGCUCCUCCUCGGGGGAGGCGCGGUGGAGAGAGAGCUCGGGGGGGNNNNNNNNNNNNNNNNNNNNNNNNNNNNNNNNNNNNNNNNNNNNNNNNNNNNNNNNNNNNNNNNNNNNNNNNNNNNNNNNNNNNNNNNNNNNNNNNNNNNNNNNNNNNNNNNNNNNNNNNNNNNNNNNNNNNNNNNNNNNNNNNNNNNNNNNNNNNNNNNNNNNNNNNNNNNNNNNNNNNNNNNNNNNNNNNNNNNNNNNNNNNNNNNCGUGGAGGCGUGGCGGGGUGAAGUGGCGGCGGUGGCUAGGGUUGGGGGAGGGGUAGCCGAGGGGAGGGGGGUUUAUAUAGGCCUAGGGGGUGGUAUAAGGGAGGAGGAGAUCGCGGGAGAGAGGAGAGCUCGGUCUGGUCUCGGUAGAGAAGGAAAGAGAGGAGAGGCAGAGAGGAAAGAAGAGAUCGCGGGGCUUGGCAGGAGAGGAGGGAGGCGGUGGAGAGAGAGAACUGGGGAAGUCUCGGUCUGGGCAGAGAGAAGGAAAGGGAGGGAAUCGCUGGGAGGGUGCGGUCUUUGUUGGAGAAAAUAGGAAAGAGAGGGAGGAAGGAGAAGAGAGAGGGAGUUACGUGGGGCAUGCUGUGUAUGUGGAUGCAUGCCUCGUGCAUGGGGCUCGUGGGGGCGGCUGGGCUGAGCCCUUUGGCUCGGCCUGGCAGUUUCCUUUUUUUUUGAAAAAGAACAAACAGCAGCAAAAAGAAAAAAAACAAUAAAAAAAAUAUUUCCUAGCUAACAAAUACUAGAAAAAUAGGUACUAGAAUACUUAGGAAAAACAAAAUAAUAUAUAUAUAAUAUAUAUAUAUAUACAAAUACAUAUAAUAUCUAUGGAAACCCUAGUUCCACCUAAUGCAAACUUUCGAAAAUGAGUUUUAUGCAAUAGGUCACACAACUCGAUUGAAAAACUCAACAAAAAAAUAUAAUUCGGAGUUUAGAAAAUUUGCAAAACCAAAUUGGUGACUUCAAUAAUAUUCGAAACGCUAUGCACUUGAAUUCGACGGGGGGGGGAGAAGUCAUAUUAUCUCCACUCCAAUAAAUUGCCCGCAGUCACAUAACGAUUAGAAUUUUCAGAAGAACACAAAUAUGCAUAAAAUAUGAGAUGCAUAUGAAUGAUCUAUUAACAUCCGAAUUUAAGAAAAUUGGGAUGUUACAAACCUACCCACCUUAAGAUGAAUCUCGCCCUCGAGAUUCAGGUUGGCUAGAAAAUAGGUGCGGGUGGUCUCGACGAAGAUCCUCUUCUCGUUCCCAGGUGGCUUCUUCCUCGGUGUGGUGGCUCCACAACACCUUGCAGAACUUGUUGAUCUUGCUGCGGGUAACUCUGUUGGCAGUCUCGAGAAUCCGGAUGGGUUUCUCCUCAUACGUCAGAUCAAUGUCAAGCUGUAUGGCCUCUCGGGGCACUGUAUCUCUCAACUGAACAUCGGCCAUCUCAGCAUAGCAUUUCUUCAACUGGGAAACAUGGAAGACAUCAUGAACUCCGGACAAUCCUUCCGGCAGUUCCAGUUUGUAUGCAACUUCGCCUCUACGUUCAAGAAUUUUGUAGGGGCCAAUGAAACGUGGUGCUAAUUUUCCUUUCACACCGAAUCUCUUGAUUCCUCGAAGUGGAGACACCCGAAGAUAUGCUCGGUCUCCCACUUCGUACGUUACUUCCUUGCGUUUGCUGUCAGCAUAACUCUUCUGCCUGGACUGAGCUAUCUUGAGUCGGUCACGAAUAAGCUUGACCUUCUCUUCAGAAUCUCGGAUAAGGUCGGGACCAAAAAGUUGUCGGUCUCCAACUCCAUCCCACAUCAACGGUGUUCUGCACCUCCUUCCGUAUAGAGCUUCGAAAGGGGCCAUCUUCAGACUGGUCUGGUAGCUGUUGUUGUAUGAGAACUCGGCAUACGGUAAAUUGUCAUCCCAACUAGACCCAUAGUCUAGUGCGCAAGCUCUCAACAUGUCCUCCAGAAUCUGAUUGACUCUCUCAGUCUGUCCAUCUGUCUGCGGGUGAAAUGUUGUGCUGAACUCCAAUCUCGUUCCCAAGGUUUCAUGCAGUUGGUGCCAAAAUUUGGAUGUGAACUGAGUCCCUCUAUUGGACACAAUGCUCUUUGGUACUCCGUGCAGACAUACGAUCCUCGUCAUAUAUAUCUUGGCCAGCUUGGCACUCGGGUAGGUAGUCUUCACCGGAAUGAAGUGAGCUACCUUGGUCAAACGAUCGACCAUAACCCAAAUAGAAUCAUAGCCAGAACGGGUCCGAGGUAAUCCUGUGAUGAAGUCCAUACCAAGCUUUUCCCAUUUCCAUUCGGGUAAUGGCAGAGGUUGGAGCAAACCUGCUGGUUUCUGAUGCUCGGCUUUUACUCGCUGACAAACAUCGCAUAUAGCUACGUACUCGGCAAUGUCUUUCUUCAAUCCUGUCCACCAGAAACUUUCUUUCAGAUCCAGAUACAUCUUGGUAUUACCGGGGUGUAUCGAGUACGGGGAAUCAUGAGCUUCCUGAAGUAUCAGCUUCCUGAGUUCGGGAUCAUUGGGCACAUAGAUGCGAUCCUCAAACCAUAAAGUUCCGUGUUCAUCCUCACGAAAACCUUUAGCUUUCCCGUCUUCCAUUUUCUGCUUAAUCUCAGCUAUCUCCUUGUCAGCUUUCUGUGCUUCGCGGAUCUUUUCCGUCAAAGUAGACUGAAUUUCCAAAGUGGCAACAAAUCCUCUUGGAAUUAUCUCCAAUUUAAGCUCUCGGAGGUCAUCGACUAACUCCUGGGGUAAUCCUCCCGCUGUGAGCGUGUUCACAUAACUCUUGCGACUCAACGCAUCGGCUACAACAUUUGCCUUGCCUGGGUGAUAAUGCAAUCUCAUGUCAUAGUCCUUGAUCAACUCUAACCAUCGCCUCUGUCUGAGGUUCAACUCCUUCUACGUGAAGAUAUAUUUCAGGCUCUUGCGAUUAGUGUAAACAUCACAACUAUUUCCGAUCAGGAAAUGACUCCAGGUCUUGAGAGCGUGCACUACGACUGCUAGUUCCAAGUCAUGUGUGGCAUAAUUCAACUCAUGAGGUCUGAGCUGUCUGGAUGCAUAGGCUACAACUUUGCCUUCUUGCAUGAGCACUCCUCCGAGUCCUUGACGAGAAGCGUCACAGUAAACCUGGAAAUCCUUCCGAAUGUUCGGCAAUAUCAGCACUGGGGCUGUAACAAGACGUUUCUUCAGCUCUUGAAAACUGGUUUCACAUUCCUCAGUCCAAAUAUACUUGGAUUCCUUCUUCAACAACUCUGUCAUGGGCUUGGCAAUCUUUGAGAAAUUCUCAAUGAACCUCCGGUAAUAUCCGGCAAGUCCGAGGAAACUGCGAAUCUCCUUGACUGAAGUGGGUGCUACCCAUUCGGUGACUGCUGCGACCUUGGCAGGGUCCACUGCUAUUCCUUCUCCUGAGAUGACGUGUCCGAGAAAUGCGACUUCCUUCAACCAAAACUCACAUUUGCUAAACUUUGCAUACAGCUUAUGCUCUCGAAGCUUCUCCAGAACUAGACACAGAUGUUCCUUGUGUUCCUCUUCGUUCUUGGAGAAUAUCAGUAUGUCAUCGAUGAACACUACGACAAACUUGUCCAAGUAUUCCAUAAAUACCUUGUUCAUCAGAUUCAUAAAAUAUGCCAGAGCAUUAGUCAGUCCAAAUGACAUGACCGUGUACUCAUACAAGCCGUACUGAGUGGUAAAGGCUGUCUUGGGUAUAUCUUGUUCACGAAUUUUCAACUGAUGAUACCUGGAUCGAAGAUCGGUCUUGGAGAAUAUUCGGGCUCCAACUAACUGAUCAAACAAAUCAUUCAUCAUCGGCAAGGGGUACUUGUUCUUGAUGGUCACAUCAUUCAAUGCACGAUAAUCGACAACCAUUCUGAAGGACUUGUCCUUCUUUUCAACCAAGAGCACUGGGGCUCCCCAAGGUGAAGAACUUGGGCGAAUAUACCCUUUGUCCAAUAACUCCUUAAUUUGCUUCUUGAUUUCUAUCAAGUCAUUUGCAGGCAUCCGAUAAGGUCUCUUGGAUAUAUCGGGGCUGUUCCGGGUAAUAGCUCAAUCAAGAACUCAAUCUCUCUAUCGGGUGGCAUGCCCGGCAAUUCCUCCGGAAAUACAUCUGGAUACUCCUGUACAAUCGGUACUUCCUCCUGGACUACUCCCGUGAGAGAGUUUACUCGCUUACUCCGUGUCGGGCGCUGAGACACGUAGUUAAUCCGCUUCUGCUCGGGGGUGGUGAGCAAAAUAGACUUAAGGGCACAAUCAAUAUUCCCUUCAUACUUGGCCAACCAAUCCAUGCCUAGGAUUACAUCCAAUCCCUGGGACUCUAAUACGAUGAGGUCGGUGGGAAAAUUAUGGUUCCCGAUGUUGAGACUCAAAGCAUGGCAUCCUAUCCCGGCUGUCAUCAUGCCUCCUGGGGAACUGACCUUAAUAGGUUGGCUGAGGGUUCUAGUUGGCAAACUAUACUUUUCCACAACUACCCUUGAUAUGAAUGAAUGUGUUGCACCAGAAUCAAAAAGUACCAAUACAGGACGUGAAUUUAGCAAAAACUUACCAACCACAGUAUCGGGGUGAUCAUAGACCUCUUCCACAUCAAUGUGGUUCACCUGAGCUCGGGGAAAAGGAUUGGGCUUCUUUGCUGCAGAGUUACCGUUGCCGUUGCCGUUUCCAUUUCCCUGCUUGUUCUGGGGACAAUCAGUGGCAUAGUGUCCCUUCUUCUGACACUUGAAGCAAGUGAUGUGAGUCAGAUCCUUCUGAGCUGGAGCUGAUUGCUGCUGAGUACCAGUACCGCCAUUCUUGAAGUUGCUGUUGUUGCGGUGGUUCCCAUUUCCUCCAUGGUUGUGGCCUCCAUGGUUGUGCACGGGGUGGUUAUGCUGAACGUGUCCUCCAAACUUACCGGAUCCNNNNNNNNNNNNNNNNNNNNNNNNNNNNNNNNNNNNNNNNNNNNNNNNNNNNNNNNNNNNNNNNNNNNNNNNNNNNNNNNNNNNNNNNNNNNNNNNNNNNAUGGGGAGGAGGGAGGCGUCUAUGCUAGGGUUUGGGCUGUGGGUGGGGUUUUUUUUUCUGUAAAUACAUGGAUGGAUGGAUGUGAGAUGGUGAGAUUGAUGGAUGGAUGGAUGGGUGCCAUGUCAUUGAUCCAUGGGAAGAGUUCUGAUUGGUUAGAAUAUGUUACAACAUUUUUGUAAUCGUCGUAAAAGUUAUGACGAUCUCAUCCUAUGCGGUUACGAUUAUUUUGACUCACAUCUUCGUAAUUUAUAUGUAGAUUUGAUCCCCACAAACGGUUUAUGAUGAUUUUGGAUGAAAUCGUCAUAGAUUUAUAACGAAUUCAUCAACGACAUCUGAAAAAACGUCAUGUAUGAGCAUAUUUCUUGUAGUGUAGUCAGACAACAAGAUAUCAAUUGUGAAUUGUCGUGUCAUCUACAAACUACCACUUUAACUUCAUCCCUUAGAAUCCUGACAAUACAACCCAUCAUUACUCUUAUAUACAAAGAAAUAUCCUAAGAAACUGAUUUCAUAAUGUCCAUCCAUGAUUUUAUAUAUAACACAAACAUUGUAGAAAAGGUACACAACAGAUAGAGCACCACGACCCAGAUAUGACUAGCAGCCAUAUGCCAACUUACAGGUGCGCGUCGAAGCGGGAGUCAAGCAGCGCCAGGAUGGCGGCGUCCUCUGGGUCAUCGUACAGGUGUGCGUCCGUGCCCAUCCGUCCCACCACCCACGACGUCGCCGCGCCGCUCGCGCGCAUCCGGAACAUCCCUCCCUCUAGGCUGCAAACAUAUAGCAGACGUGUAACGCAACAACAUCUGCUUCCAGUGGCACCAAGUAUAAACUUAAAAAACAUGUUCGAACGACCAACUAAGAAUUAGUGGAACAUGAGAGCACUGGCAGGUGUGGAGCUGGAGCCAAAGUCACUCUGAUGCACCAUUUAAAAAAAUUCAGCAGUAAAUAUAAGUGUGCUUCAUAACCUCUGCCAUAAACUAUUAAACAUAGUAGUAAAAGAUAAUAUGAAAAAAAUAAGAAAAGACAACAAUUAAAAGUGGGCACGGAGUUUUGGCUCCGAGGCACGUGUGCACUUGAUGAAUGUAAGAUCAGAACAAAAUAAGAAGUUCAAAACUUUCUGAAUUUCUUUUAUGACAAACAUUACUGAGUGUUUCACCAGGUUGCAAAGUUUCUUGGUGUUAUAGUGGAAAAAAGAAGUAAUUUAAAAAGCGACUAUCUUUGAAAGCAUUUUGGAGCACUAAAAUUUCUUUUGCCCAUGCCUUCAAGAAUGGCGCCCCAUCACGAAACUGUGCAAUUAGUUAAAGAAACUAAGGAAUGUUUGCUAUGAAAAAAUACGAAAUUUGAAAAAUGGCUCUAUUAAUUUUCGGAUGUUAGUCUUCAUCCUUGGUUGAUGUGUACCCAGGAUCUGAAUGACACAUUCACAAUUAAAAUGCUUUCUGUAGCGAUCAAAAAAAGAAAUUACACGGUAAAUAUGCCUCACAUUUUCAAAUCCGAACUGAUUUUUUAACAAAAUCAGGGAACUUCAAAGAACAGUUUUGGCACUAAUAAUAGAAUUGAGAAUUACAUAUGUUACUUUGUAAUGUUCCAUCUUAGCUUCUAUGGCGUGCUGCCAACAGGGCCCAAUGGCGCUCUACCCUAGAAACCUACACGGUACAGUUUUGUCCUAGACCCCUAGAGAAAAUUGUUGUUCGCUCGCUGCUUCAUUUUGUUUGGACCCUGAUGCACAUCAAUGAGUGAACCUGGUGCACAUGCAUGUUGUACAAACUAAGCGCUACUGAAAGAAGGAAUCGACCCUGAUGCCUGUGCAUCACGGUGCCUCCAUUCAGCUCCGCCCCCUAAGCACUGGUUCAUCUCAAAUAGAAAAAAAUAAGACAAGACUCCGAAGUAAUAGGAAAUGUAAUUCAGACCUAUCUCCAUUGCAGCCCAUAUUUCCAAGCCAAAGGGACAAAAGCAAACCCAUGAUUAUGUAAUUCAGACCUAUAAAGGCGCACAAAGAUCACAUGAUCCAGGCUAAGAAAGAAAUCGGGUGCUACUAUAGCUGUGAACUUUGCAUCAGUUGACAUAUUUUAUUAUGAACAGUCCAGUUUGUCCUACUUUCAAAUGCAAAUAUCUCUGUCACAGGAGAUGAGAUGGAGAUAAGUAAAAAUUGUGAACUUGAGGUGACAUAAUGUUAAAAUUGUGACUUGUAAAUUAACUGUUAAACAAGUAGGGGAUGCAUAAUAUUGGGGGUGAAAACAAAGAAGAAUCAGUCAAAUAUUCACAAAAUAGAGGCUAAAAGGGUAGGAGUUUCUUUGCCACCUCGGGAAAUAACUGUGCAUAUUUGCCACUAAUUAAUUCCUACUUAAAUUCGAAUAAACUAAUCAAGUAAGCCUGAUUAACAGAUGUACAUCCCGAAAUUUAUUUCCUAAAUCAUCUUACAUAACUUUGCCUUCCCAAGUCACAUAAGGCACAUUGCCAUCCAGAGUUAAUCACUGAACGAAAGUGUCGUCACGCCGCAGCAACACUAUAGAAUGCUAAGUUAUCAGUUUCCAAACUUCAAUUAAAUCUGAAAAGACUUAAUCAGAUCUCCUCCCAUGGGCCAACUAGGAGUAGAUCAUUUGCCUCCCAACAGCUUCGUUCUGCGGCUUCCUUGCCCUGGAAAGGAGAUGCGAGAGAGCGAAGAGAAUUGAACCUGGGCGAUGCUGAUGAUGAAGUCGCCAAACUUGGGGUGGACGGCUGCCUGACUCUUGAGGUGGUUGGCGAUAGGCUUGGACAGCGUCUGCAGCAGCAGCGUCCCCAGCUUCAUCACCAGCAACGCGACCAUGGCGGCGGCGGCUCGGCCAGGACCUCUUGGUCGCCAUGGAAGCAGAGGAGCAGACCCCUUCACCUCCACCUCCAGCAGCAUUAAAUAUUGCUGCAUUAACCCCUCCACGUCCAGGUUUUAACCUCCUGCAUGAAACACUAACAUAUAUUAUCUCGAGGGCCAUGAUAGAGGAGGGUCCUAACAAUUUUUGUUUCAGAUAGACAAAAACAAAAGGUCCAGUUUAACUCUGAGCAAGGAUAAAGCAGGAUUCAAGUACUCAACAUACAUAACAUAAUCUGAAAUCAUAUCUGCAUUUGGAUCAUAAGUAUUUAAGUGCCAAAAAUAAUUACCAGUUGGCAGCAUUAGCAAUCACGUUGCAUUGAAGACCUCCUUUUGAGUGCAACUGAGUGAUGUCUCCAACAAAUGUGAAAAAUCUGCUGGACUCAAAUCUGCCUCCAGUUUGUACAUGCCCUUUGCUCUUCUGACCAAAUACUCCUAAAGCAAGACUAUGUGAAGGUCCUAAAGCACUACACAUAUCAACUGCCUUCUUAAUAUCAUCAUCAUCCGUACAGAACGUGAUCCGACUGAAACCUACAGUCAGCAAGGGUGUCUAUUUGUUCUUCAACAUGUGGUUCACAACCAUGGCAGCCAUUCCGUCCUGCACAUUUCCUUCAUGGCUAGUCCGGCUAACCGAGCGUGAGAUGCAAACCUUCGCAGGAAGAUCCAAGAAAACAACAUGCACAUCAUCUUGUACGAUGCAACCAAGCUUCACAAAAUCAGAGCGCUGCUCUCUUUCCAAGUUGCAUCGGUCAAUGAGAAUGCUCUUUCCCUCCUUGAAAGCGUCUGCUGCGGCCUUCAAGCACUGUAUUUUGGUUCCAGCUUUGCCCUUUCCAAUUGUAUCCUAGAACACAAUAAAGACCCACACAAAAUCUUGUCACGGUUGCUGGAGUUUCCAUUGACGAUAUGGUUAUUAACAUUCAAGCCAAGUAAAAAAAUUGCACUACCCGAAUCACCCCAACUUACUCAUGGAAUAGGAUUUUGGUGUUUUGACUUUGAGGUGCUAUCAGCUUUCGCAUGCAGAGCCAUUUUUUGCAAGGUAAGUAUUAUUAUUACUAAUACCACGAGACCGAAACUACAGUUUCAAACUUGCGAUACAAUAACUAGUUGUGAAAAAUAUAAGCAAUUUCAGAGCCGAAUCAGAUGAGCCCGCAUUAAGCAUUAGGGAAUGCUUGUCUUGAGACCUCAAAUUCACAACGGAGACGAAAAGUACCACCACUCAGCACAUUAGCACGUAGCGAGAGUGGAGCGCGUGGGGCACACCUGGCAGACGCGGGCCCAUGGGCGACUGGCGGUGUCGCCGGCCAAGACGGCCUCGGUGAACGUGGACUUGCCGCCGCCCGGGGCGCUGACGAGGAUUAGCAGCACCUGCUUUUCGGCAUCCUCCUUAGUCUCCGCGCCCGCGCCUGCAAUGGUUAGAGACAACGGCGGGCUAGGGUUUUAGCGUCGACGGGUAGCACUGGUUCGACCGAUUAGAUGAGGAAAAGGGUCAAAAAUCACCUCGGGCUACUUUAGAAAUCGAUGGAGCGGCAGGGGAACCACCUUCGUCGGGAUCCAUUCGCGGACAAACUCCAGAGGAGAGGAACCGGGGGCCUCUCACCAGCGUCUAAUCCGCUAUGGCGGAAGGGAGUGGGUGACGGGAGGGCGGGGUUACCGGGGAAGAAGCUGCGGGCGGCGACGAGGCCGCGGCCCUUCCCUGGAACGGAGGCGACGGCGAGGCCGCAGCCGGCGAGCUCGCGCUGCAGCUGCUCCGCCUGCCUCCACCAUCGGCGGUGUCUUCUGGUUCGAUUCGGGGGGUGGAGAGGGCGAGCCAGCAAUGCCGAGAUCUGCUGCGACGCGACCCCCAGCAAGGUUGGCCGGCAAGCUACGCAGUGGUGGUGGUUGUGGGAUGCAUCAGGGAAGGAGGCAGGGGACAGCAAGGAGGUAGCGGCGGUGAUGAGAUGGGGGCGAGGGAGGGAGAGGCGAUGACGCGCAUUCUCUGGAUCGGGAGGUUGCGGCUAGGGUUCGCGCAAGAUAGAGGCAGAGGGAGAUGGGUUUGCUGUGGUGGGAUGGAUGGAUGGAUGGCCGGAUAUUUACCAUGUAAUCGAUCCAUGUCACAACUCAUUCCAUCAAUCAGACUUAAGCUUGGGCAAUUUUCUUUUUUCUUUUUUUCUUUUAUACUUUUCACCCUCUUAUUCAGGGUAAAGAUAUAAUAUAUUACCCUCUUACAGUUUGUUAAAGCUUACCAAUAUAAUGCACAUGUGUGUAUCUUGGGAUGACAAAAAUGUUGAUUUGGGUGGUUUCAUUUUCUUUGCACAAAAAAUACAUUUUUCAUUUUUCGAGUGCUCAAAAUAAGUUUUUUUGUGAAGGACCUACCAUAUACUUGUUGCAAAAUUGGAUCAAAUAGUUUUUAUAGAAUACUAGUCCAUAUUUAAUUUACAAAUGACAAAAUGGUUGGGGGUAAAAAUAUUUGAGCCACCUCUCGAAAAAAACAAAAAUUUCCGAGAAUUAUUUUUGAACUAUGGAGAGAAGGGUUUUCAUAUAUUUUAGGAAUAUAUGAUCCAAAGUAUUUAUGAGAAUUUUUCGACAAUUUUUGGAACGACAUAAUAGUAGGUUGCUUCACAAACUAGGCGGGUUUGACGCGUGACAUAGAAUGGACCCACGAGUGACAUGUCAACAUAGUUAGAACAUGUUACGACAUUGUUAUAAUCUCAUCUUAUGCGGUUACGACGUUUUUGACUCACAUCGUCAUAAUUUAUAUGUAGAUAUGAUCCCCUCAAACGGUUUACGACAAUCUCGGAUGAAAUCGUCAUAGAUUUAUGACGAAUUCAUCAACGACGUCUUCAAAAACGUCAUGUAUGAGCAUAUUUCUUGUAGUGGUCCAAUUUCUUACCGAAACAGAUACAUCUUUGUUUUCAAGGUCUAAAAUAGGCUGAUAAACAUCCCUUAUGUACUCCUGUGGAGUUAUGACAUUGAUGAUAUUAGUCUCAAUAUUUAUGGGAGUACCACAGAUGUAAUGCUUGAUUCUUUUCCCAUUUACCACUCUAGGAAAAUUUCCUUCCGUGUUAUUGAUUUUGAUGGCACCGGAACGAUAUACUUCCUCGACAACAUAGGGACCUUCCCAUUUAGAGAGAAGCUCGCCUACAAAGAAUCUCAAACGAGAAUUGUAUAGCAAGACAUAAUCACCUACAUUGAACUCUCGUUUCUGUAUUCGUUUGUCGUGCCAUCUCUUAACCUUUUCCUUGAACAACUUGGCAUUCUCAUAUGUCUGGGCUCUCCAUUCAUCUAACGAGCUGAUAUCAAACAACCGCUUCUCACCGGCAAGUUUGAAAUCAAAGUUGAGCUCUUUGAUUGCCCAAUAAGCUUUGUGUUCCAGCUCAAGAGGUAAAUGACAGGCCUUACCGUAAACCAUUUUAUACGGUGACAUGCCCAUGGGAUUCUUAUAAGCAGUCCUAUAAGCCCAUAGUGCAUCGUCAAGUUUGCUAGACCAGUUCUUUCGGAUCUAUUGACGGUCUUUUGUAGGAUCAACUUGAUCUCCCUAUUACUCAACUCAACAUGACCACUAGACUCAGGAUGAUAAGGAGAUGCAACUCUAUGGUUGAUAUCAUACUUAGCUAGCAUCUUGCGGAGAACACCAUGAAUGAAAUGUGAACCGCCAUUAGUCAUCAAGUAUCUAGGGACUCCAAAUCUUGGGAAUAUGACUUCUUUAAGCAUCUUAAUAGAGGUGUGGUGAUCAGAAUUUUUAGUGGGGAUAGCUUCUACCCACUUAGUAACGUAAUCCACAGCAACUAAGAUGUGAGUGUACCCAUUGGAACUCGGGAAGGGUCCCAUAUAAUCAAAGCCCCAGACAUCAAAUGGUUCAAUGACAAGUGAAUAGUUCAUAGGCAUUUCCUGACGCUUACUGAUGUUCCCUAUCCUUUGGCAUUCGUCACAAGACAAGACAAACUUACGGGCAUCCUUGAAGAGAGUGGGCCAAUAGAAACCUGAUUGCAAUACCUUAUGGGCAGUUCUAUCUCCAGCAUGGUGUCUUCCAUAGGCUUCAGAAUGACACUUCUUGAGGAUUUGUCCCUGUUCAUGUUCAGGCACACAACGUCUAAUAACACCAUCUACUCCUUCCUUAUAAAGGUGAGGAUCAUCCCAAAAGUAGUGUCUCAAAUCAAAGAAGAAUUUCUUAUUUUGCUGAUAGGUGAAACUGGGUGGUAUGUAUUUGGCUACGAUAUAGUUUGCAUAAUCGGCAUACCACGGUGCACUAUGUGAAGUGCGGAUGACAUUUAAUUGCUCAUCAGGAAAGCUGUCAUCAAUAGGUAGUGGGUCAUCAAGGACAUUCUCUAGCCUAGACAAGUUAUCUGCUACAGGGUUAUCAGCACCCUUUCGGUCAACGACGUGCAAAUCAAAUUCCUGUAGCAGGACAACCCAUCUGAUCAGCCUAGGCUUAGCGUCUUUCUUCUCCAUCAGGUGCUUAAUAGCAGCAUGAUCAGAGUGAAUAGUGACUUUGGAGUCAACUAUGUAAGAUCUGAACUUUUCACAUGCAAACACGACUGCUAAAAAUUCCUUCUCCGUAGUGGCAUAGUUUCUUUGGGCACUGUCUAGAGUUUUACUAGCGUAGUGAAUGACAUUCAACUUCUUGUCAACUCUUUGUCCUAGAACAACACCAACAGCGUAAUCACUAGCGUCACACAUGAUUUCAAAGGGCAAGUUCCAGUCAGGUGGUUGAACAAUAAGUGCAUCAAUUAAGAUUUUCUUACGUAUACCAAAGGCUUCUACACAAUAGUCAUCAAACCCAAAUGUUAUAUCUUUUUGAAGAAGACUAGUUAAUGGCCUAGAUAUCUUGGAGAAAUAUUUAGUAAAAUGCCUAUAGUAACCAUCAUGACCAAGAAAACUUCUUAUACCUUUAACAUAUUUAGUACAUGUCAUUUUGUCUAUUGCAUGAACUUCUUUGUCUACCUCAAUACAUAUGUAGGAAAUUUUAUGCCCAAGCACUAUGCCUUCAUUCACCAUAAAGUGGCACUUCUCUUAGUUCAAGACAAUGUUCGUUUCUUCACAUCUCUGCAAAACUCGAUCAAGGUUGCUCAAGCAAUCAUCAAAAGAAGUCUUGUAAACAGAAAAAUCAUCCAUGAAACCUUCAAUAAUCUUUUCACAAAAUUUAGAGAAUAUAUCAGUCAUACAUCAUUGAAAGGUAACACGUGCAUUGCAUAAACCAAAAGGUAUACGUAUAUAAGCAUAAGUUCAAAAGGGCAAGUGAAACUAGUUUUCUCUUGGUCCUCCUUUGACACAUGUAUUGAGAAAAACCGAAAUAUUGUAACAACCCUAUGUCAUGCUACAGGAAACUCAUGCUAAUGGUGCCAUGUCAUCAGAUUUAAUUCUGCUAAACUUCACUUUGAACCAAACCCAGUCCAACUCCACAUUUAAAAUAAAGUCAAAUUAUUAUUUCUUCAAACAUAAAAAAAUGUUCAUAAUGUUGCAAAUAAUCCCUCAGUAAUUGUGGGGUAGAAACCAUUAUUUUAUAAAGUGGUUAAGCAGAAAAAUACAAAGGUGAACAAGGGUCCGUGCACACCCACAUGAAUAGUAAAUUCAUAAAAAAUACUGGUUUUUUUUAAAACAUUCUGAAAUUUCACGAUAAGAAACUUAGUUGACCAUUCUAAUCACGUGGGAAGUUUCAUGGUGUAUUGACACCGAUGGUAUUUUUAGUGAAGAAAAUACAAUUGUGGCCAUACUGUUCAUCAAACUGUUUUAAUAAUAUAGAUUCGGUUUUGUCAUUUUUUUCCAGAUUACCACCGAUGUGAUUUCUUCGUGAAACUUCAUACACGAAUAUACUGAUUGAGUAUGUAUAUUACAAAAAUAAAUUCCAUUUUUUUGUUUUUUUAGCAAUUUAUGAAUUUAUUUUUCAAGCAGGGUGCGCUCGCACCAUGCUCACCAAAUCUGUGUCGGGUUAAGUGUCGUGAAAUAUUUAAAACAGAGGCCAAAACAAUAAAUUAAUUCCUUUUAAAAUUAUAAAAUUUAUAAGCUAUUUUAUUUAAAUGCCAAGCAUAUAUGCUUACUUGAUUUUGUAACAUGCUAUUGUUACCUACCUGCUUACCAUAUAUGCUUAGUAUAGGUUGGUUAGUGAUCCACUGGUGACACCUCACCUUGUUCAUGUUGCUCCCCCAUCAUCAUCAAUGACUCGAUCAGUGUGCUAAACAUCCUAAGCUUGACACAUCACCUCACACCCCCUUAUUUGUAUGACUCUUCAGAUCCACUAUCGAGUGCCGAAGUUGAUACUCAUAACGCACUCCUGAUGAUAACCCUAUCGUGUAGCUAGUCGGUCAUGGAUUUCAGAGGGUGAUUCCUCUUUCACCACCUCUGAUGAUGCCUCUGUCCUGCAGCCCCUCAAGUGUGAACCUAUCGAGGGUGAUUCCACCAAGUUCACCAUGACGAUUACAUCGACUGGGAAUCCAUCGAGGGUGAUUCCUCAGAUUUCCCCCUCGAUGAUAAGGACACAGUAUUACCUUUACCUAUUGUGCCUAUUACCGGUAUUGUGGGACUGAAGGAUAGGAGGUACCCCCCCCCGGAUGAGGUGGACCUGAGUUCCCGACCAUCUCUUGCGAGUCGGGUUGACCUGGAAGGUACUCGCGAGAUAAUUAGAAGGCAUAGUAGGGCAGGCAGUCCGUCCCAGGAGAGGGAUGGACCUAACCCUUGAUGAAGGUCCUCCAGACGGGGCGACAUGAUCACUCAUCGUUUCCUUGAGCUCCCAAGACACUAACGGAUUAGGAUAUGUGAUCUGAGUAGGCCUCUAGCCUUUUUCACACUAACCACCAUGCGGGAAUAACUAUGGGCCCUCUUCAUCUUACAUUCUCCCGAAAGCUCUUCAAAUGUCAUAGUGAGCGUCACUCGCUCGGGUGGCCCACGUAAGCACCUACUUUGGAUAAAGAGGUAGCUAGGACUGAUAUCAGUCAUCCUCGUAACACACACGACUGCAAAGGGCGAUGGGUCCAAGACCCCUAAGCACUUAGGAUUUAGACCGACGUGUUGUCCUCUCUGUUGAGCGUAGGUAGGACUAUGGUGUGCCGAUCAGACGAGGCCGAGCAUGACCCAGGAAAGUGUGUUCGACCGGAGUUAAUCGAGCUCGUUGGGUAAGUUGGUGAACCCCUCCAGGGAAUUAUAUGUUGGAAAUAUGCCCUAGAGGCAAUAAAUUGGUUAUUAUUAUAUUUCCUUGUUCAUGAUAAUCGUUUAUUAUCCAUGCUAGAAUUGUAUUGAUUGAAAACUCCAAUACAUGUGUGGAUACAUGGACAACACACUGUCCCUAGUGAGCCUCUAAUGGACUAGCUCGUUGAUUAAAGAUGGUCAAGGUUUCCUAGGAAUAGAAUUGAGAUGUGGUUUGAUAAAGGGAUCACAUCGUUAGGAGAAUAAUGUGAUGGACAAGACCCAAACUAUGAACGUAGUGUAUGAUCGUGUUAGUUUAUUGCUACUGUUUUCUGCAUGUCAAAGUAUAUGUUCCUAUGACCAUGAUAUCAUGCAACUCCCCAACACCGGAGGAGUGCCUUGUGUGUAUCAAANNNNNCAACGUAACUGGGUGACUAUAAAGGUGCUCUACAGGUAUGUCCGAAGAUGUGUGCUGGGUUGGCAUGGAUCAAGACUGGGAUUUGUCACUCCGUGUGACGGAGAGGUAACUCGGGGGCCACUCCAUAAUGCAACAUCACAACAAGCCUUGAAAGCAAUGUGACUAAAGAGUUAGUCACGUGAUCUUUUUAUCACGGAACAAGUAAAGAGAUUUAUCGGUAAUGAGAUUGAACUAGGUAUGGAGAUACAGACGAUCAAAUGUCGGGCAAGUAACAUACCCAUGGAAAAACGGAAUAGUAUACAUGAUUAACUGAAUCCUUGACAUGGAGGUUCUACCGAUAUAUAUCUUCGUAGAAUAUGUAGGAGGCAAUAUGGGAAUCCAGGUUAGGCUAUUAGUUAUUGAACGGAGAGUGUCUCGGCCAUGUGUGCAUAGUUCUCGAACCCGCAGGGUCUGCACACUUAAGGUUCGAUGAUGUUUCGGUAUUGUUGAGUUAUGUAUGUUGGUGACUGAAGGUUGUUUGGAGUCCUGGAUGACAUUCCGGACGUCAGAAGGUGUUCCGGAAUGGUGCAGAGACGAAUAUUGAUAUAUAGGAAGAGGGUAUUUGGACUCCGGAAUGGUUUCGGGCAUUUCUGGUAGUGUACCGAGAACGACGAAUGGGUUUUGGGGGAUCCAUCGGGAGAAGUCCACCCACCCCAGGGGCCACAUGGGCCUAAGAGGUGGCGCACCAGCCCUUAGUGGGCUGGGCAGCCAGCCCCAAAAUUCCCUUGCACCAAGGAGGUGGGAGGAGGCCAAGUUGGGAGGGAAUCCUACUAGGAGUAGGACUCCACCUCCCUUAGUGGAGGAGGAUUCCUCCUCUUGGUGCGCCACCCCUUCCCGUAUCCUCCUAUAUAUACUAGAGGGGGGAGAGGGCAGCCAACACACUAAUAUAAGGCACAACCCCUCUCCCUCCCUCUAGUUCGUUCUUCCUCUAGAAUAGGUUCGACAGUGCACGACGAAGCCCUGCCGAUCAGCUCCACCACCAUCGGCGCCACACUGUUAGGCUGUCAGAUAACUCAGCUACCUCUCCGCUCCCUCUUGCUAGAUCAAGAAGGCGGAGAUUGUCAUCGAGAUGUACGUGAGCUGAACACGGAGGUGCCGUCUGUUCGACACUAGAUCGGGAUGGAUCGUGAUGAGAUCGCGAGAUGGAUCAUGAUGGGAUCGCAGGACGGAUUGCAAUUUGGAUCGCGAAGAUGUUUCACUACAUCAACCGCAUUAUAUACGCUUCCGUUUGGUGAUCUACUAGGGUAUGUAGAUGCAUUCUCUCCUUUCGUGGAUGGUCAUGACCAUGGAUAGAUCUUAUGUCUGCGUAGGAAAUUUUUUGUUUCCCAUGCGACGUUCCCCAGCAGUGGCAUCAUGAGCUAGGUCUAUGCGUAGAUGACAUCUCGAGUAGAAAACAAAGUAGUUUGUGGGUGUUGAUAUUCAGAUUGCUUCCCUCCUUAGGCUUUUCUUGAUUUGGCGGUAUUGUUGGAUGAAGCGGCCCGGACCAACAUUACUCGUACGCUUACGAGUGACCGGUUUCAUCGACUAACAUGCAACUAGUUGCAUAAAGAUGACUGGUGGAUGUCUGUUUCUCCUACUUUAUUUGAAGCAGAUUUGACAGAGGCGGUCCUUGGAGAUGGUUAAAUAGCAACUUGUAUAUCACCGUUGUGGUUUUGCGUAAGUAAGAUGCGAUCAUGCUAGAUACCCAUAGCAGCCACGUAAAACAUGCCACAACAAAUUAGAGGACGUCUGACUUGUUUUUGCAGGGUAUGUUGUGAUAUUAUAUGGAAAGACAUGAUAUUAUAUAUUUGAUGUAUGAGAUGAUCAUGUUGUAAUAGUUAAAUAUCGACUUACAUGUCGAUGCUACGACAACUGGCAGGUGCCAUAUGGUUUUCUUAAAUUUUUUGUGCCCGGUGAUGCUUUACUUUAUCGCUAGUUCAGUAGCUUUAGUAGUAACAACAUACUUGGUGAGACAACCUCGAUGGCAGUACAAUGAUGGAGAUCAUGAUGUGGCACUCGUGAAGAUGUAGAUCAUGCCGGUACUUUGGAGAUGGAUAUCAAAAGCACAAGAUGAUGGCCAUAUCAUGUCACUUAUGAUUUGCAUGUGCUGUUAAUCCUUUUAUGCACCUUAUUUUUCUUAGGACGAUGGUAGCAUUAUAAGAUGAUCCCUCACUAAAAUUUCAAGAUAAAAUUGUGAUCUCCCCGAGUGUGCACCAUUGCAAAAGUUCGUCGUUUCAAGACACCACGUGAUGAUCGGGUGUGAUAGACUCUUCGUUCGAAUACAAUGGGUGCAAGACAGUUUUGCACACGCGGAACAUUCGGGUUAAACUUGAUGAGCCUAGCAUGUCCAAACAUGCCCUCAAAGCACAAGAUAACGGAAGGUUGAACAUGAGUCAUAUAGUAGAUAUGAUCAACAUAGAUACGUCCACCAUUGAAUCCAACUCAACUCAUGUGAUGAUUGGACUUGAGUUAGUGAAUUUUGAUCAAGUAUCACUCGAAUGACUAGAGGGAUGUCAAUUUGAGUGGGAGUGUUGGAAAUAUGCCCUAGAGGCAAUAAUAAAGUAGUUAUUAUUAUAUUUCCAGUUCAUGAUAAUUGUCUAUUAUGCAUGCUAUAAUUGUAUUAAACAGAAAUUGUAAUACAUGUGUGAAUAUAUAGAUCACAAUGUGUCCCUAGUGAGCCUCUAUUUGGAUAGCUCGUUGAUCAAUAGAUGAUCAUGGUUUCUUGAUCAUGGACAUUGCAUGUCAUUGAUGACGGGAUCACAUCAUUGGGGAAUGAUGUGAUGGACAAGACCCAAUCCUAAGCAUAGCACUAGAUCGUGUUGUUUGUCUACUAAAGCUUUUCUAAUGUCAAGUAUCAUUUCCUUAGACCGUGAGAUUGUGCAACUCCUGGAUACCGUAGGGGUGCUUUGGGUGUACCAAACGUCACAGCGUAAGUGGGUGAUUAUAAAGGUGCACUACGGGUAUCUCCGAAAGUGUUUGUUGAGUUGUGCGUAUCGAGACCGGGAUUUGUCACUCCGUGUGAUGGAGAGGUAUCUUUGGGCCCACUCGGUAAUCCAUCAUCAUAAUGAGCUCAGUGUGACUAAGAAGUUAGCCACGGGAUGAUGUGUUACGGAACGAGUAAAGAGACUUGCCAGUAACGAGAUUAAACAAGGUAUAGGGAUACCGUCGAUCGAAUCUCGGGCAAGUAUCAUACCGAUAGACAAAGGGAUUGCAUACGGGAUUGAUUGAAUCCUUGACAUCAUGGUUCAUCCGAUGAGAUAAUCGUGGAACAUGUGGGAACCAACAUGGAUAUCCAGACCCCGUUGUUGGUUAUUGGCCAGAGAUAUGUCUCGGGCAUGUCUGCAUGUCUCCCGAACCUGUAGGGUCUACACAUUUAAGGUUCGAUGACGCCAGGGUUAUAUGGAAAUAGUGUACGUUGUUACCGAAGGUUGUUCUAAAUCCCAGAUGAGAUCCCGGACGUCACGAGGAGCUCCAAAAUGGUCCGUAGGUAAAUAUUGAUAUAUAGGAAGUGAGAUUUUGGACACCGGAAAUGUUUCGGGCGUCACCUGUAACGUACCGGGACCAUCGGAGGGGUUCGGGGGGUCCACCUGCCCCAAAGGCUAGCAUGGGCCAAAAGAUGGAAGGCAACCAGCCCAGAGUGGGCUGGUGCGCCUCCCACCUAGGCCCAAGGCGCAAGGAGAGGUGGAGGGGGGCAAACCCUUGGCGUAGGAGGGGCCCAAGGCCCAUUUGGGUGCGCCACCCCUCCUCUCCCUGCCCUGGCCGCCGCCCUCCUGGCCAUCUAGGUCUGCCGCCACCCCUAGGGAGGGAACCCUAGGGGUGUGCACCCUCCCUCCCUCCCUCCUAUAUAUACCCGAGGUAUUGGGGCUGAUUUGAGACAUGAACUAUUUCUCUCUCGGCGCAACCCUACCCCUCUCUCUCCUCGUCCUCCGCAUAGCUUAGCGAAGCUGU
rnacentral:lncRNA from 1 species